rnacentral:rRNA from 1 species
UACGGGGGGGGUAAGCGUUGUUCGGAAUUACUGGGCGUAAAGGGCUCGUAGGCGGCCAACUAAGUCAGACGUGAAAUCCCUCAGCUUAACUGGGGAACUGCGUCUGAUGCUGGAUGGCUUGGAUCCGGGAGAGGGAUGCGGAGUUCCAGGUGUAGCGGUGAAAUGCGUAGAUAUCUGGAGGAACACCGGUGGCGAAGGCGGCAUCCUGGACCGUUAUUGACGCUGAGGAGCGAAAGCCAGGGGAGCAAACGGG